rnacentral:rRNA from 1 species
UACAGAGGAGCCAAGCGUUGUCCGGAUUGACUGGGCGUAAAGCGCACGCAGGCGGUUGGCGCGUGGGUGUGAAAUCUGGCCGCUUAACGGCCAGGCGCAUCCCAUACGGCCGAACUGGAGCCUUGCAGAGGUCGGUGGAAUUGCCGGUGUAGUGGUGAAUGCGUAGAGAUCGGGAGGAACAUCUGUGGCGAAGGCGACUGCCUGGACCAGCACUGACACUGAGGCACGAAAGCGUGGGAGCAAACAGG